AAUAGGUUAUAAAAGCGUAGCAUAAUGCUGCAAUGUAUGCACCACACGCUACCGAAACUCCUUUAGUACUGGUUGUGGUACUGAUAAUUCAGUACUAAGGGGCUUUUAGUACUGGUUGAAAUAACCACCCUUUAGCACCGGUUGGAGAGACCAACCGUACUAAAGGGCCUGCCAUGCCGCGCGGAGGGGCGGCCUAACCGGUACUAUUUUCUUUUCUUUUCUUUUCUCAUUUUCUUUUCUAUUUCUUUAGUCUAUAUUCGUAUCUCGUAUUUAUUUCCUUUACAUGUACUAGUUCUAAUAUGCUAAUAUAUAUAAUGUUCUAUUUAUCUUUAAUAUUACAUUUGAGAUACUAUUAUAUAUAGACAUAUUGUGCAUACACAUAUAUGAAUAAUAUUACAUUGCCUCAACUUUCCAAGUUCAAUAUUUCGUAUCUACUAUUCUGAACCCAAGUCAUGACGGUGAUGUAGAUUUGAUUCAUCAUUAUGAAACUCCCCCACUGGAUUUAUGAGCUCGUCCAAAAGAAAUCCACAGAGUUGUUCUUGAACUGCCCUGAUGCAGUUCGUGUCGAGAACUAUUUCCUUCAUGUACAUCAUUUGUGUAUAUACAAAUAAAUUGAACUAUAAGCAAAUAAAUUGAAAUACUUAAUCUAAUUGAAAUAUAAGCAAAUAAAUUGAAAUACUUAAUCUAUUUUUUCUAAGUAUAUACACAUGAAUUGAUUUUUGAAGUAUAUACACAUGAAUUGAUUUUCUAAGUAGAACUAAUUUAUUGUUAAGAAUUUUGUAUAUGUACGGUUAAGUCGUGGUCGGUCAUACGCGGCGGACCUACAAAGCUGUGGAUGAACUCACAUACGAAGUAUCCGCAUAAAUUAGUACCAGGCUCAUGUCUCCAACACUAUAUAUAUUGAAAAAAGCUCAUGUCUCCAACACUAUAUAUAUGAAAAAAAGUUAUGAAAUAUUUUUUGUGUUAAAGGAAGUGUCACGAGAUGUGAAAAUUCAACACAUACCGGAAAAUCAGUCUUCGAAUAAAGUUCCUCCCAUUCACCCACGUGAUUUCGACAGAAUCGAGCCCAUGCUUUGUUCAUGGCGUCUAUGAUGUCAUUGUAUUCUUGUUUUCAUUUCCUCAAAGAGUCGAAUACAUAUAGUAAGCUCAUAUCAGGUACGACAACAAUGAGUAUCCAAUGGAAACUGUGCAGCCAAAUUAAAGCUAGUCAGUCUUAUGUUUAACUGCUAGUUCGAAAAAGAAAGAGAUGGGAGACAUGCUUACUUGAAGUUGUACGGUAGUAUUAUGUACUUCUUGUAAUGUUGCAUGUCGAGUAACUUAUAUAUAUUAUUCAAGCUCCGAUUUUGUUUAUCUCCUAGAGUUGACUCGUUUACAACAUCGGGGUCCAUGAAGCCUACUUGAUAGUAUCCCUGUCUGGUAGUGGACUCAUGCUAGGAUCCCUGUUUGGUAGUGGAGAGGAUGCCCUAGCAGAUAGCGUAGGUGAUAUGGCCCUUGAGCAUUGAUGAGAUGAUCCCAAGGUUAGAGGAUUCAGGUGUGUAAUCCUUAUGUAGCACUUGGAUCAUAGAAUCCAACCAUGGAUGGCUUCUUCUUGAUUCUUUCUCCUAUCAUCUCUAGGGAUCUCCAGUUCCUGGUCAUCCCAACUAUCGACCACUCAGUCCACCAUAACUUUGGUGUAACCGCGAGCUAGAAUCUCCACGUCCUGAAGUGUUUGGCCUUGCAUCGGUUGCUCAACCACACCAUAAGCCACCACAAUGAGCUUGUUUUUCAUGGGAGUAACAAGCUCACUCUCCCAGUGAUGUCGUCCAUGGGGUGGCAUUGGUUGUCCUCAAGUAUGUCAGAAGAUCCUCAAGCUGGGGCUUCCGUGGAAGCGACAUUUCUUUGACGUUGAGUGGGGCUUACGUCGACAUGCGGUCCUGAUGCUGCAUCAGCUGCUUGUUCACUGGCUUGUGGUCCUCCAUAUAUGGAGCGACCAGGGAUGAUUAUUGUAGGACCAUUAAAUGUGCUUUACGAAAUGUAAUCUCAUCGAUGUCCAUCCAAGCUUUCCUCCCUAGUGUGCCCUUUCCCUUCAAUCUCCCCUCAUGGUGUGAUACAGGGACUCUGAUCGAUCUCAGGUCAUCAAUAAAGUCAACACAAAACUCAAUGACCUCCUCUAUUCCAUAUCCCUUUGCAAUGCUUCCUUCUGGAUGGGCACGGUUACAAACAUACUUCUUCAGAAUUGCCAUAAACCUCUUGAAAGGGACAUAUUGUGUAGAAAUAGAGGACCGAGAACAAAAAUCUCUUCAACAAGGUGGACUAGAAGGUGGAUCAUGAUAUUAAAAAAGGAAGGUGGAAAGAUCAUCUCAAAGCUGACCAGGCAUUGCACCAUGUCAUUCUGUAGCUUUAGUAGAUUGUUUGGAUGGAUUAACUUCUAAGAAAUCAUGUUGAGGAAUGCACAUAGCAUCACGAUUGUCAUUCUCACAUUCUCUGGUAGAAUACCCCUCACCGCAACAAGCAACAAUUGUGUCAUCAGGACAUGGCAGUCAUGUGCCUUUAGAUUUGUGAAUUUCUUUUGUUUAAAAUUUUUUAUUGCCUAUAUAUUCGAGGAGUAGCCUGAUGGGACCUUGAUACUAUUCAAGCACUCAAAUAUGCUUUCCUUCUCUUCCUUGCUGAGAGUGUAACUAACAGGAUGCCAGUAAUGUCCAUCAUCUCUCUUUUUUGAAUGUAGGCUAUCUCGUUGUUUCAUACAUUUCAGGUCCUGACGUGCUUCAAUUGUAUCCUUUGCCUUUCCAUAUAUACCUAGAAAGCCAAGCACGUUCACGCAAAGAUUUUUCAUCAGGUGCAUCACAUCAAUUGCAUUACGGAUCUGAAGGACUUCCCAAUAAGGUAGCUCCCAAAAUAUAGACUUAUUCUUCCACAGGGGUGCAUGUCUAUCCUCGUUGUUUGGAAUAGGUUGGCUACCAGAGCCCUUGCCAAAGACAAUCCUCACAUCCUUUAUCAUAGAAAAUACACAUUUACCAUUAUGGUGAACGGGCUUAGUAUGUUUUUCUUCCUCCCCUUCAAAAUGCUUUCCUUCCUUUCUUAACAGGUGUUUAGCAGGAAGAAAUUGAUGAUGGCUUGUAUACACGACAUUCCUACAAUGUUUCAAAUACAUGCUGCAUGUAUCAUCUAAAUAGUGCAUGCAGGCUCGGAAUCCCUUGUUUGACUGUCCGAAUAGAUUACCAAGCGCCGGCCAAUCAUUGAUGGUUAUGAACAACAAUACUCAUAGCUUAAAUGUCUCCUUUUUGUCCUCAUCCCACACACGUACCUUCUUCCUUCCAUAACAGUAGAAGUUCAUCAACCAACGGUUUUAGGUAAACAUCAAUGUCGUUGCCUGGUUGUUUUGGGCCUUGGAUAAUUAUUGGCUUCAUAAUGAACUUCUGCUUCAUGCACAUCCAGGGCGGAAGGUUAAACAUACAUAAGGUCACAGGCCAAGUGCUAUGACCACUGCUGAACUUUCUGAAAGAAUUGAAUCCAUCUCUACUUAAACCAAACCGUAUGUUCCUUGCAUCCUUUUCAAACUUGGGAAAUUCUCUACCAACUGUUCUCCACUGGGACCCAUCAGCGGGGUGUCUGAUCAUUUCAUCUUGCUUACAUUCUUCUUUGUGCCAACGCAUCAACAUUUGCAUGUGCCUUGUUUCUGAAUAAACGCUUCAACUGUAGUACUACAGGGAAAUACCACAUUACCUUCAUAGAAACUUUCUUCUUGAUGGCCUGCCAUUCAACAUCACCGGGGUCAUCUUGCCUGAUCUUAUAACAUAGGGCUUCGCACACAAGACAAGCCUCCAAUUUCUCGUAUUCCUCACCGCGAUAGAGGAUACAAUCAUUAGGAUAUGCAUGUAUCUUUUGUACCUCCAAACCCAGAGGUCAAACAACCUUUUUUGCUUUGUACGUUGAGGACGGCAAUUCGUUCCCCUCAGGAAGCAUGUUCUUUAUGAUUUUCAUUAACUCGUCAAAAUCCUUGUCAGAAACUCCAUUUUUUGCCUUCCAUUGCAGCAUUUCUAGUGUGGUACCUAACUUUUUGUGCCCCUAUUUGCAAUCUAAGUACAACAAUUUUUUAUAAUCAUCUAACAUAUGGUCGAACUUUUUUGACUCCUUCACAUUCUCGCAGUCUUCCUUUGCAUCUCGCAACAUCUGAAAUAGAUCAUCGAUAGGACCUUCUGCCUCGCCCAUCUCUUCUUCAGCUUCACCCAUUGGAGCAUCUGCAAAGGCACCUUCUUGAAUCCAAUCAGGAAUGUUGUCUUCUUCUUCUUAUUCAUCAUCAUCCAUCAUAACUCCUCCUUCCCCGUGCUUGGUCCAAACAAAAUAGCUAGGCAUGAAUCCAGAACUGUAUAUGUGGGCGUGAAUAGUCUUUCUGGAUAAGUAAUCCUUCUCUUUUUUGCAAUUUUUGCAUUGCCAACAAAUGAAACUGGAUGACAGUUUGUUGAAUUUUGCCUGAUCGAGAAAACCACGCAAACUAUUAAUGUACUCCAUGGAAUGUUUGUCUACGUUGACAUCCAUUGCCAAUUCAUCUACAAAAUAUUAUCGAACCAAAGAUAUUCUGAUCAUCCAUAAAAUUAUAAAUGAAACAUAAAAAACAUGAAACAAUUAGCACUAAACUGAAAUAUUGCUGAAAGUUUAGAUCGAAAUAUAAAAGUUUAAAUUUCAGACCCAAACAACAUUAUACACCUACGCCCAAAUCCAAAUUCCAAACCCCUCUCCCUCCCGCCGCUCCGCACCCCAACCCAGAUCCCCGUUUCUCAAUCCCUCCGCUCCUAGCUCCAAUUCCAAUUCCCCACAUGCCCUCGAUCCUGAUUGAUGCAGCCGCGAUGGUGCGCGAGCUGCGCGUCGACUCCUUCUACCACUACCAGGGGCUCAAGAUCAUGUUAGUUCUUUUUUUUUAUUUCUACAAUAUAGGAAUUAGCUACCUGCUAAGAAGAAGUUAGUGUUCAAGUUCAAUUAUGAAUCAGGAAGAAGAAAUGAUACAUGAGAGAAAGAUGAAACGAUACAUUCGAACUGGGCUACUGCAGGCCUUAGAGAGCUGGGGGAUAGAGCUUUGUGGGGGAAGUGUUGGAGGGCUAAGAUCUUGGAGAUGCAAAAGCUUGUGGCUUGGAGCGGGUACUAGGGUGGUGUGUAUUUGUAGGUCGGAUCGGAGAGGAGUACUGGACUAGUACGUAAUUGCUAAAUUAACAUGAUAUAAUUUUCACUUAUUUUUAUACAUUUCUAUGAAUUAACAUGAUUUUAUAUAAAUUCUAGCUACUUCAAGAAUUUUUUUCUACAUUAACAUGAUUUUCUACAAUUUCCUAUACAAAAUGGUGUAUAUAUUUAAAAAACAAAUAUGAGCUCUAAAUAACACAUUCAUAUAAAUGAAAAUUUUCUCCAUUGUACCUUAUUCUAAAAAUCACAAAUUACUCUAGCUCUAAAGCAUAAAACUUACUAUACUAACCAUGUAUCAAGGGAGGAGGAAGUUUCUAACCUUUAGAAUACUUGAAUGAGUGAAAUCCCCAAAAAUGGUCAAAAAUCCGGCAGCACCUCCCCCUAUUUCGCCACGGAUAGGGUGAAGCUCGAGCUAGAGGAAAUGCCUUAGGCAGGAGAAAGAAGGAGGGGAUUUAUAGGAGGAAGCCCCCAACAGGUACUGAAGGGUCCACAUUAGUACUGGUUGGUGCUCCCAACCGGUACUAAAGAGCCUCACGGGCACUCCCUCGAGGACUAUCCAUUCGGCUUGGCACUAAUGCUAACAUUAGUACCAGUACUGAGGCCGUGGACGAAAGGUCCAUUCCCACUUGCAGUGGUAGCUAUAGUUAUUUUUGUUGGGAAUCGCCAAAACACUAAACACCCUCAAGCGCCGUUCCUAGGUAAAAACUCUUUAACCUCGCAAGUUCUAGACCAAGGAACAAAACUUAGUUAACCUCGCCAGUUCCUAUAGGAACUAUUCUGGUAGUAAAACUCAUACCCUCGCAUCUUUUUUGUUUUUGGAGGGACUCGAUGCUGGCAACUGAUAACUGAUGACUGAACUCCAACUGAGCUAACCCUCGAGUGUUUGGAGUCAGUCCCAAACACCGAGCUUUUACCUUUUUACUCUUUACUUAGGAACGGAACAUAGAGGGAGACUUUGCAAAGUUAUAACUUCUCGGUGCAGCCUAAUAACCAGGUGCCACGAGGUUGAACAACUAUCUCGGAACGAGGGUGGAGACACGAGGCUGGAGGGUCGAUCUGGCACGAAGGUGAAGUAUCAUGGUUGGAAGGAUGGAGGGGUGAGAAACAUGACCACGUGGAGGAAUUCAAUUUGUACACAUUACCCCCAAUUACCUUUAUGUACGGUAUAUCCUAGGAAUGUUGUGGUUCAGGAAGGACAUUUUCGAAAUGUAAAGUGGCUCAUGGGUCACUAUAGAAGGGGAGCCCUACCUUGUUGUUAAGGGAGACCCAUCAUUUUUCUAUUUUUCAAGCAUUAUUCUCUUUUAUUCACAAAUAUAUUCGGUAUCAAAUUCCUUUGAGACCAAUAGGGCACCCACCAUGUUCUCAGCCAUAAAACAACCCAAGAUGCCACAACCAAAGAAGAAGAAGAUCACAUCGCAUGAAACCACCGAGGGUGAAAGAUAGAAAGAGAGAGGGCUUGUCCCUAUCGAUCAAAACGACACAGACACCUUAGA
rnacentral:lncRNA from 1 species